AGUGAACGCUGGCGGUAGGCCUAACACAUGCAAGUCGAACGGCAGCAAUGUAAGAGCUUGCUCUUAUGGGUGGCGAGCGGCGGACGGGUGAGGAAUACAUAGGCAUCUAACUUUUUGCGGGGGAUAAAGCUGGGGAAAUUAAGACAAAAACGCCAUCGCCCUUUGGGUUGACGUCGGGGUACUUCGGAACAUGCGUGAUUGAUUGAGCGGAUGUCGGCUUAGCUAGUUGGUGGGGUAAAGGCGCACCAAGGCGACGAUCCGUAGCUGGUCUGAUAUGAUGGUCAGCCACACUGGAACUGAAACGCGGUCCAGACUCCUACGGGAGGCGACGGUGGGGAGUAUUAGACAGGGGGCGCGAGCCUGAUCCAACCAUACCACGUAGGGGAAAGAAGCCUGCGGGUUGUAGAUCCCUUUUGUUGGGAAAGGAAAGCAGCGGGUUAAUACCCCACUGUUCUGACGGUACCCAAAGAAUAAGCACCGGCUAACUUCGUG
rnacentral:rRNA from 1 species